rnacentral:miRNA from 1 species
UUUGUACAAGAUGCUCUGUUU